ensembl:antisense Gm12223 predicted gene 12223
UGGUUUUUUGCAUUCAAAGGGGAUAUCAGUCAGAAAGGUUUUAAGGCUGUCUAUGAAAUCCGCAUAGGUGGUAACUUGUGUUUCACAGUCCGUUUCCUGGAGGGAAUGGAAAAAAAUAAACAGCACUUGAGUCCAGGGCUUCUUUGCUGUCUCCCCAGAACCUAGAAACCAUGCCAAGCCCAUAUAGUCAGACUGCUACAUCCCGGCAAGAGUGCUGCCAAGUCCCUCAUAGUCCCCCCAGGAAGCAUCAGCCUCCAUUGUCCUGGAUGCAGAGCUGCAGACUCAGAUCAGUCUUCAGACCUGGCCACUGUGCUUAAAACUACUUUCCUUCUCUGUGCCCGACCUUCAUCUUCAUGAGGGGAUGGAGACCUCUGCAGGUCACUGCAGAGAUGCCUGGAGACACCUAGAGGAGCUUCUUAAAUAUCAACCAAGAGCUAAGUGUAUGAAGAUUUUCUGCUUGGGUUUUCAGUUUAGACUAGUUGGGAGGCCUCCAUUCCAGUCUCAGUUUCCCCAAUGGUCAAAGAAAGA